UUCCUCCCUUAAACCCCCCAUUCUUUUUUUUUUUUAAUUUCUUCAUAGAAAUUAAAAUAUAAAAGCUACUACAUUUUUUUUAGUUUAACUCUUGUCUUUGUCUUUUGUCUUUCUCUUAACAAAUUUUAGGGUUUAACAUGUGCUCCGCUACAAUGUCUCAAGCAGCCCACAGCGGCCCUGGCGCUUUCCUCAUGCUACUACACUUUACCGGGACAUUGUUUUUGCCCAGAAGGUCCAGAGAUGAUGCAACCGAUGCCUGCUGGAUGGAUAUUGCUCUAUUCUGACAUUAGUUGCAAAAGACUUGCCUUUGUAACGUAUUGUUGGAAAUCAUGGAUUGACAUACAUGAAGUUUGGAAUAGGGAAUGAAGCCAUUGGUCCGUGUAGCAUAGGAUAAAAUUUACUGUAAAUUAUCGAUCUAUUUUGAAAUUAGUUAGAUGACAGAACGAUGCUUCAGCUUUUAUUUGUUCAGUUCUGAUUUUAAUGCCAUUAACUAUUGAUCUGAGAUUUCCUUUUA